rnacentral:rRNA from 1 species
UACGGGGGGGGCAAGCGUUGUUCGGAAUUACUGGGAGUAAAGGGCUCGUAGGCGGCCAACUAAGUCAGACGUGAAAUCCCUCGGCUUAACCGGGGAACUGCGUCUGAUACUGGAUGGCUUGAGUUUGGGAGAGGGAUGCGGAAUUCCAGGUGUAGCGGUGAAAUGCGUAGAUAUCUGGAGGAACACCGGUGGCGAAGGCGGCAUCCUGGACCAACACUGACGCUGAGUGAGCGAAAGCCAGGGGAGCAAACGGG